AGAAGCACAACUACUGGACAGAAAGAGACAAGGUUAGUUAAACAUGGAUCAAUGAUGGGAGGUUAUGGGACAGAGGAGGUAGAAGGAAACAGAGGAGCUCAGUGUAUAAAUUAAGUCCCCCAGCAGUCUAUGUCUAUUGCAGCUUAACUAAGAGAUGGUUCCUGUGACUAACAAUAAUUGCCAGUGACCUGAACCAUCUCUAACUAUAAGCUUUAUCAAAAAGGAAGGUUUUAAGCCUAAUCUUAAAGGUGGAGAGUGUGUCAGCUUCUCGAACCUGAAGAGGGAGCUGGUUCCAGAGGAGAGGAGCUUGGUAGCUAAAAGCUCUGCCCCCUGUUCUACAUUUAAACACUCUAGGAACCACAAGUAGCCCAGCGCUCUGAGAACGAAGUGUUCUGCUGGGAGCAUAAGGAACUAUAAGGUCUUUAAGAUAAGAAGGAGCUUUAUCAUUGAGUACUUUGUAUGUAUCAUCGAACUAAGCGUCUGUGAUGGGCAGCUGCAGAUCCAACCAUCCUGCCUGUGUCCAGUCCCUAGUCCAACCAUCCUGCUGUGCUCUGUUGUUGUUUGUUGUUGUUGCUUUGCUUUUCUCUCUCUCUCCCCUCACCCCAACCGGUCGAGGCAGAUGGUCGCCCACAUUCAGCCUGGUUCUGCUGUUCUUUCCUCAUUAGAGGACAUUUUUCCUCUCCAGUGUUGCUGUCAUAUUAUAAUCAACUCUAGCUUCCUUUGUGACUGGUUUACAAACAACCUGAGGUUUUCUAACAUCGUUCUGCUGCAUACUCAUCAUGGUGGUGGAACCUCAUAUCCGUGCUUAACUCUUUUAAGUCAUGGAAGAAGCUGCCUAGAUGCCUAGAUCUGUAGAUGCAUGUCAGGGGUGGAAAUGUCUUUAAGCAACUGAGAAAGACUAAUUUUUCAAGCUUCAAUGCUCUUUUUUCCAGUUUUACUCAGCAGCCCCUGCUAAGUCACACUAUCAGCUCUUAAAGCAGGUUGUACAGAAAGUCAAACUACUGUACCACCCUUGUAAUUGUUUUGAGUUCUUGUUACUCACAUUAGAAGCCACACUUAAGACAUGGUUUCACGGUUUCAGGUGGCGGUUGAGUUGCUAGUUAGUGUACAUAUUGUUAUUGGUCUGCUUUGGCAACACACCUGAAAAACCAUAGCUGGGAGGGUGAGACCAGGAGAGAGCAGCCUCUGUUUACAACCGUAGUCGCUGCAGCUAUGUGCCCGUGGCAGGCGAAGAAGUGGUGCAUGACAGAGAAGAAUAAGCAAGGGCGGAUUGGACAUCACUCAUCAACCACAGUGGGUUUGAGGGAGUGAAGGACGUAAGACGCACCUGGAGGCAAGACAUGGUUUUGUUUGACACCGUUUAGCUCAGACGUGCAGCGCUGGAAGGGAGACGCAGGCCUGAGCAUCUCUGGGUCGACACACCUCCAGGCAGAUGGAGAAACAGGAUCCAGACGAUUCCAUGUGUGUCACCGUCUGAUUUUCUCAUCAAAAGCUCUUCCUCUGUGCUGGUGGAGGAAAUUCAGUGUCAGAUGUCCUCAGAUGUGUGGUUUGCAUUUGCCAAGAUUCACUUUCAUGAAAUAAGAAUCCACAUAGUAUCAAAUGCAGUUUUUCACAUUUUUUUCAACUUUUUUAAUUCAUAUUAUAUAUUUUAAAUAUUCAUGUGAAUCUGUGUAAACAGAACAGAUAUGUUGAUUUUUUUCUGAUUUUGCCAUGUAGUCUACUGAGAACAGCGUCUAACACUCCCCCACUUCAGUCCCAGAAACCCUCAGUCCAUUGUCAGAGGCUUUAGUGUCUCUUCACACUCUUAUUUUGUGCAUCUAAGUUUGGAUUUGGACGAUCAUACAACAUGGCCAAGGGAAGGAGGACCAGGACGGCCAGAGCAGGUUGAACCGAUGGCAGAAACGAUACAUAAUUAAAAGGCAACGUGAAAGAGAAAGAAAGAAAACAAGAACACCCGAAAAGAGUAAAAAUAGAAAGAGGGGAAGAAAGAGGGAAUGAAUCACAGAAUGAGCCCAUGCACAAGGAGGCGAUGGUGGCUGCCCGCUUCCCUGGCCCCUGACUCAUCAAAGAGCUCCUUUCUCCUGCCUCAGGCUACCUGCAUGAGCAGAGAGACGGGCAUAGGGGCAACGCUCUGUGGAAAACAAACAGGCAGCAGGCAGAUAAUGUGUCUUCGGUGAAAAGACAGAGCUACAGCACUGCGGUCACUGACACCAGGUCCAUGAACUCUGCAGCGUUGGCUACGAGGUUACAGCCUUAUCUUAGUUCUGAAGAAGCUCAUCCCUCGGUCCGCCCCCAGGGUGGUGCGCUUUGCUGGGCUCCCGUCGCUCUUUUUGCGGUCUGUCCAGCCUCCAUGUGAACCCCUGUGGCUGUUAUUAGAAACACUGCUCCAAAACCCCUACUAGCCACGAUGUGGAGAUGAUAGAUUGCGCUUUGUUUGGAUAUCCAUUUCCAAUUGCAGGUCGUGAUUGGCGAGGGGAACCUGAGAUGAUGGGUUUGCUGUGUUAUGCUGCCAAAAGGGGAAAUGCAUAAAGGAAGGGAAAAAUAAAAAGAUAGAGAAAAGGAAGAAAGCAGUACCAGUGGUCUGCUACUAUCUGUGACUAUCAGCUUACAAAAGAGGAGGAAAACUGAUACGCACAUAGAAAACCGCAAGCGAGGACCACGAGAAGCCCAACAAGCCCAACAUGUCAGUAGCAGUCAGAAGUAAGGAGAGAUAAUAUACAUGGGGCAUUUUACAGCUCAAACAAGGUGCUGCCACAGUAUCAGAGCAACACCACUCACAGGAUGUUGUUGAGGUGGCCGCCAUUAGGGACGACCUACAACAACACGGUUACAAAAGCUUCAGAGGGAGGACGACAGCAACUAGUGUCUGUAGCUGAAGCUCCGAGCUGCUGUCACUGCAUGCGUCGGUUCUGGGCUCGGCCCAGCUUGAAGUGGGCAAAACAUCAGCUGCUUCAUCUUUGACCAGGACAUGAGAUGAAAGCAGUGGGUCGUCCUGGACACGGCUUUACUGGACCCACUCACUAGCAAAGUCUUACAAUCAACGCUCUACUACAAUAGAUGGCUGCAGAGAAAGGCCUUGACGUGAUUAAAAGUGGAAUUCCUUCCAACAACCAGCAGUAGAAGUGUUUGUACAGUCUGUGACAUCUCCUGUAUCAAUAACUGCCUUUGAUCUGCACAUCCAAAGAAGGAAGAAGUACCCUUUUGGGCUAACUUAAAGAUACGACUCCAUCACCAACAGCAUCUCUCAUCAUUUGUGGAAUUAUCGAGCAUCUUGGACCACCCACAGAUCCAACUGGGGAUGAAUAGCUUAUGUGCAGAAGGCAGCCAGGCCAAGACUCCCUAAGACACACAGUGUCUGAUGAAUGAUGCACAACCUGCUGCAGAUUAACGAGGACAUUCAUCUGGUCAGAAAUACCUGUCGAUGCUCAAUGGCCAGAGAUGAGAACAUGUGUUUGUCCGGUUACAUGUUACACUUCACGUUCAUAGACGCUCACUGACAGUACAGUUUGAAACAAAUCUGGAUGAGGUGUGGGCUGAGGCUAUAGAGAUGACGUGAUGCUCUUUGUCUAUGGGUCAUUUACUGACUGAGUCCACCGGGUGAGAGAGCUCAUUCUGGGGAGCACAGGGAUACGUCACAGUUAAGGCUAUAAGUCAUGACGUGUGUGUGUCACUGAAGUUCCUUUGGGCAGGUCUCCCUUCUAUGCCAGGAUUCAGUUUUGUCUCUAAUGACAUGACAAUGUAUUGUUACGCCCUUUAAGUAGGGGAGAAAUUAUGAGUGAUGAGAGUAACAAGUGAUGCUUCCUCACUGAUGUCUUUACUCUAAUGAAUUGUGCAUAAACAUGUACAGUACAUGUACCUACUGUAUGACAUACACAUUGCCAUGUCCACAGUACAUGGCAAUGGAAACAAACCAACAUAAAGUAUCAGUAGCGAGAGUUUACCUGUUGCCGAAUGGCAGCUAACACUAGCGGGCUAGUACACUAUGUGCCACACUAAUCAAACACAUCACUCCUUACGAAACACUAUAUGUUAUUUGGAAAUGUUAAACAUUUCUAUAAUUAUAUAAAUAAAUAUCAAAGUGUGGAGAAAUAAUGAGAGUAACAGGCUCCAAUAAGGAAAGCAGCAUGAUUUUCCAGGCAUGUGGGAAGACACCCGACUAAUCAAUUUCAGGUCCAUAGAUUAAGGUCACGGCCUGGAUGACCGAUCUAUGGUGUAAUAUCACUCGUCACAGUAUCCUAUUUAAAGGUCAAAACAACUAACUAAUUUAUCUGAACUUGAACAGAUUUUGAGGAAGGCACUAAAACUCAUAGUGACAAAUCCCCAAACUUAAAAUUCUGAAGGCAGAGACAGAGAAGGCAGAGAACUCUUUGUCAACCUUUGGUCAUUGUCCUUUAUUUUGGCGGUACCAGGGGAGGUUCUCCAGUACCACAAACUGUAAUCUUAUUUACCUUAGUUAUUUUUAGGUUUCUGUGGUUCAUUAUUUUAUUAGAACCGUAAAUGAUCACAACAUAUUUUAGAGUAAACUAACAGAUCUGUAAGAACCUAGCACUGACUGAACAGUGAUUAUUAUUAGAUCCACCUGUUGCUGAUAAAUGGGGAUCGUCCAAAGCAGCAUUCUUUUCAAGGUGUCUCAGCCUGUUUGGAUUCCCGGUUGCCAGGGUGGGGUCAGUGUUAUCUUUAGUGACUCCUACACCUACGCUCAGGUGGCUGCUUCAACCGUCUCCUUCUCCGGGUGCCGGUGGGGUCUGAGCCGAGGGCAGAGACUAAAUUAUGCCACUAAAUCCCUCAAGUGCAAGCCUCUGCAGAGAGCCUGCGUGUAAGGCUGCAAGGCUGGGGGAGCGUUCUCGGAUCCACUCCAGGAAAUUCUGCAUGCACAAUUUGUCUUUGUAACAGGAGAGCUGGCACGACCCCCGGCUUAAAGAUGUCAUGACCGGACCAACUUAGCACGCAGCCGAAGUGCUUAUUAUGCAUUGUAUACUCAAUCCUGACACAGGGGAGCUUGGCGUGGCUCACGUCCCAGUGAUCAGACUCAGGCUUUUUCUCACCACAUCAGUUUGUAAGAGACCUGGUGAAUUUCCACAAACCUCAGCAUGAACUCUACCACUCAACCAUGAGAGACUCCUCAUUUUGGGAGAGGCCAGAAUCUGAUAAACACAGGGGAAGAAAGAACGAGGAAAAAAAGAACGACAGGAAAAUGGAAAACAUGGCUGGCACUUUCAGCAGGUUUAUUUGAGGCCGUGACAGUGAGCCCUUGGAAGAGGGAUGGCGUGUAAAGCUGGGUCCAUGGAUGGGCGGAGGGGACACAAAAGGGGUCGUGACAACUAGACAUGGCAUUUCAAAGCCUGCUUGCUUCUUCUGUGCAGUUUGGAAGAUAAAGGAAAGAAAAAUCGGAUUAUUUUACUCCCCGGAUCCCUGAACUCAGUGGGGCAGAGUGGAGAUGGUGCCUGGGAACGAUUUGUCCAGCCAUUAUCUCAAUCCAUUAAGGAUGAGAACUGCAGGCAGUGCUUCAACGUCACAUCAGAAGAAGUGCAAAGUUCCUACAUUAUUGUGUUUUUUUCUCAUCGAAGGGACUUUUUGCUCUCUCUGCUAGUAUUAGUUUUACUAGUGGUUCUUGUGUUUAUGGUGGCUGAGUGUUGCGGUCUUCAUGCUCUGUCUGUGUCUGAUGGACAGAGACUGGCUUUCAUCUCGGCUCCACCUGCAUUUGAUGAAUGUGAAGGCUUUCAUUUUGAGUUUAUUGCAUCAGUUUACCUACAGGACUUAUACAAUGUCUUCAACUACUGUAUGAAACCAAAAUUCUAUAUUACAUGUACAUGUAGGUUUUAGACAGCAAAAGCUAUACGAAGGAGAUUUAAACUACCAUCAACACAUAGUCUGCACAGCUGCAACAAGCCUCCACCAUAAAAGCAAUGUACCAAGUCUUUAAAAGCUCUGCAGUACGUAAUAAACACACUCUUGAAUGAGAAACAGAAGUUUGGAAGGUCCCAACAGAUCUGUGGUAAAACUGAUGCAUGGAAAUAUCAUCCCUCUGCAACACGAGCCACCUGCAAUGCCAAACUAUCCCAGAGAGCCAGCGGACGCUACUCCAUCUAUCAAGUGAAGUCAGAUUCAGCUCCACUUCUCCAUCAGGAGAGGAGGCCACAGGAGAGUCAGCUCAGUCCAUCCAGCAGCAGAACGACCAGGCCUGUUGAGCUCAGAGCUGACGCAUCUUCUGUUUACAGCUUCAUAGGUUAGAGGUGUGUAUGUAUGAUGCCUGGACCAUGCACAGGUCAUUUCUGCUCCACAGGAAACACUUACUGUUCAGUAUUUAGCUCUGUCCAACUGCCUCCACUUCCCUUUAGUCAAAUAAGCUUGUGUUCAGUGUCUUGGGCCAAUUCCUUUAUGAGCCUUGUCUAUUUAACCAGACCCUUCAAGGAAUCUGAGUAUCGACUGUUUGUUUUACAGCCUAAUAUAUAAAUACACCAGUGCUUAUUUAAGCAGUGUGUCGGCCAGAUAGAAACAAACCAUGAGCGUAUAAAAGAGAGGCUCAACAAUGGCCACGAAACAUGAACUGAUGCUUGAUGCUAAACUUUGGUCUGAGAGAAGCUGGGUGCUUGUAUAAUAAAAUAUGUUUACAUGACUCAGAAACCAGGAAGAAAACAGCUGAUUGCUCUUCAGUGAUGAUUCACAGUGCAAAAGCACACAGUGACGCACACACGGUGCAGGUUGCGGCCAGUUCUUCAUCAGUCCGAGGCGAGCAGGGAGCGGAGCCAUCUCGUAUCGGGUUCUGCUCCCUGCAACGUGGGCAGAGCGCGUCAGAAAGCUUCCACACGGCAAAGAGCUCACACUGCAUUGUUCUCUGUUCAUGAAAAGUCCAGCAUCAAAUCCAUAACACAGUGAUGGCGGCAGCAUCACCUGGGUUCUAUAGCUGGCAGCCUCUGUUGAGCAUUAGCGUGUGCUUCAUGUACAGUACGUGGCAGCUGCUGGAGUAUCAGCCUUCAGCCUGCAUCUGCUUUUACAGUGCUUUACCACGGGGUCUCUUUACUGGACACAGCAACUGGCCUCGUGGGGAACAUCUGGCACAUUCAAUCUUGUUAUUAAUUAAUCAUAACAUUUUCUCUGGUCACCACAGAUGGAAGCACUUGAUCUGGGCUGGGACUCCCAUUAUCAAAUGACGAUAGCUGCACUGACCUACUGGAGAGCACACAACUCACGUGUGCGCUCCUCUGUUUGCUUUGAGACGAUUUCAGAACAAAUGAAUCAUUUGUGGAAGUUUUUGUUUCCUAAACAGAGAGGAUGUGAUGGUGUCGUGAACCAGGGGGUAAACUCAGUAAGCGUUUGGACUGACCUGGCUUCCAGCUCCAUCCUAAUGGAACCUAAUAGUUUGGCUCACAGUGUGACAGCUGACAGCUUGUGUGGGGAUUUUGUCUGACUACAUACUGUAUUUCAGCCCAAUAUUUAUGUUUCAACUUUGUUCAACAGAUCUGAGUCAGAAUUCAGAAUGAUCUGAAAAAAUGUUCCGGUUUUGGUAUUCAGUCACAUCCAGGCACCUUUGCUAAACAGUGACAGGUGUAAACAGUGUUUAGGUUCUAUCUGACUAAUAAAAAGGUCACUUAAGCAUCUCAUUCUAUAAAUAUACAGUCAGGUCCCCUAGCUGUGUCAUCUGUAUUAGAAAUUAACCACUGAAGAUGUGAACCAGGCUAACAUCUGUCAGUGUGAAUUUACUCACUUUAACCAUUCACACACCGUUUUUUCAGGAAAAAAUGGGCCGAUAGUCACAGAUCCUGUGUGCCAUGCGGCAUUAAUGAUUUUUACUUAUUUGCGGUUAUACAGGUAGAGGUAUGCAGAGAUAUACAGGUAGUCAAAAAAUAAUAAUAUUUGUAGCUGGAAUUUACAGUUUAAUAAAAUUUUGGUAAAUACAGCAAAAGCUGUUAUUUUGCUAGCUAACAUGGCUGCAUCGAUUUUAAUUUUGUCCAAAAUAUUAUCAAAUUAUUAUCUAAGUUCUAACUCAUACGCUCUCCCACAUUACACACAGUAAAAUUGUGACUUCAAAUUGUAAUUUGCAAAAACUGAGCCUCAAAAUGUUUUUAUUAACUUUUUCACAAAGCUUUAUACAUGCAAAACCUCUGAACAAAAAUAAAUAAACAUAAAUUUCAAGCAUAUUAAUUAAACCAGUGGUCUGUCUGUCUGGAGUCUAAAAACUGAAACUUAAACACAAGUGUGUCACUGGAUAACUAUAAAACUAAAGUGGCUGAGUGCAAUAGGAGUGCAGGGUUGUCAAAUCCAUUCACCAAGUGAACAUGUAAAUACAUGACAGAAGUGAAAGUGAAUGAAUAUCCAAAACAGAACUUACUGUAUGUGCAUGGCUAACUUGAAGCAGAGAGUUUGGAUGUUUGACUCAUACAGUAUAGUCCCAGCCAAAGUCCAUUAGUUCUUAGUAGACUGGACUAGAGACAGGAGGAUUGAUCGAAGUCAACUUUUUCUGAAUGAUCCUCUUCUUUUAGAUGGGACUUUGCCUUGUGUAGCCUUGAUGUCUCUCUUAGGAUUGAUUCCGAUUAACUGUCUGACCAACAAUUGUGGGUGUUAAGGGUUAAAGGUUAUACAUUUUUUUGCACGCCGACAUACUAAUAAUGACAUAAACCAUUUAUGCAACACUCACUUUAGCAUUUACAGCACUGGCCAUAUCCUUCCUGUGAGGAAGAUCUUAAACUAAAUAAAUAUAUAUACCCAGCUUUUCAUGUACAGUGACAAUUGAAUGGAAAAUUUAGAUAUGUUUAUAAGCUCUGUACACUCAAAUGUGUCCAUUUAAGUUACGCAGAACAGGCAGGGAAAAUUGUAGGAUGAUAAUAAGAAGUCCAUUGUCAGUUUGAAAUGUCACAAAUUCCUCUAAAGAGAGAGAAAUGUUACUACCAUUCGUCCCUUUUAUCUUCAAAAUUUAGACAUCCCUGGCCAAACCUUGCAUCAUUUAGCAACUGUAAAGAUCUACACUCAUCAUGCACAAUAGGACUUGUUUUGUAAAUGUUAUGUACUUUAAUAAUUCCAACAAGCAAAAAAAAAAAAAACUCUGACCUAUUAAACUGACGGAUGAAGAUGGGGGAAAAUUUAAACUGGACGAUUGUCUCAAGCAUGUGGGCUCACUAGUUGCUUGUAUUCACAUGAUGCAUUGGAAAAAAUAAUGUAAAAUACUGUUUUCUCUACUCAAAGUAUUAAUACUGUAGAAAACUCUUGAAUUUUAUGCGUAAAAAGUGUAGAAAGUGUCUUUAUUUAAUAGGCUUGAGUUUGUGUCCAGAUUUGGUGAAGGUGUGAUUAUCUACAGUUCAGUCCAUGUCAUAAAGCUCUCUUCAUCUAUAUGUGAUAUAUAUAUAAAAAAAUUCCCCACUCACGCCUUCUAUUGGAGCAGUCUUACUCCUACAAGCUUGGUUCCUCUACCAGAGGUCUGGGAGCUUGAGGGUCCUGUGCAGAAUCUUAGCUUCUCCCAGGACUGCACCAUUCUGUACAGAGGUCUCAGAUGUUGUUCCUGGGAUCUGCAGGAGCCACUCUCCCAGCUUGGGAGUUACAGCCCCUAGUGUUCCAAUCACAACGGGGACCACUUGUGCCCUCCCCCUCCACAUGUUCUCUAUUUCUUCUUUCUGCCCGUGGUACUUCUUGACCUUCUUGUGCCCCUUCUUCCUUAUGUUGCUAUCACCUGGGAUUACUGCAUUUAUCAUUACAGCCUUAUUCUCUAGUUUAGCUAAGUCUGUAUCUGGAGGUCCCACAGGAUCUUAGCUCUGUCAUUCUCAACCACCUUUGGAGGUGUGUCCCAUUUGGACUUUGAGACUUCCAGCCGUUACUCAACACAGAUGUUCCUGUACAUUAUGCCGACCACUUGUAUAGCAUUCCAUGUAUGCCCUGUCUGCUACAGUAGCUUGCACUCCGCUGUUAUGUGCUGGAUUGUUUUAGGGACAUCUUUGCACAGCCUGCACCUGGGGUCCUGCCUGGUAUUGUAGAUCCCAGCCUCUAUUGAUCUGGUUCUUAGAACGUGCUCCUGUGAUGCUAGUAUUAGUGCCUCUUUGUCUGUCUUUCAGUCCAACUUUGUCGAGCCACUGGUAGGAUUUGUCAAUAUCAACCGCUUCUUCUAUCUGCUGCUGGUACAUAUCAUGCAGGGGUUUGUCUUUCCAGGAGGGCAUAGGUGUUGAUUGCCUGGACUUUUGUUCUUCCUUUUCAGCUGACUUCUCAAGACUUGUCCUACCCUUUGGAGGUACUUUGUGGUUGCUGUUCUCCUUGCGGCCUCUUUGGCUUUGGCAUUUGCCUGUGGGAUUCCAAGGCAUUUGUAGCUGUCUUUCACAUCUGCUAUGUUGCCUUCUGGUAGUUCUUCCCCCUCAGGCCUGACUACCUUUCCUCUUUUUGUAUGUGGUCGGAUGGUAGAUCCACACUUAUCCAGUUCGAAUGACAUUCCGAUGUCUUGGCUGUAUAUCCUAGUGGUACUGUAUGUAUCAGCGCGUCGCUUUGGUCGCAUAUCUCAUUCAUUCUUGGCAUACAGCUUGAUGUCAUCCAUGUCAGCCAGAGGUGGCUGAUGAUUGCGUCAUUCCAUAGUCAGUACCCAUAACCAGUCUUGGUGACAAUCUGGCUGAGGGGGUUCAGGCCUAUGCAGAACAACAGCGGGGACAGAGCAUCUCCUUAGUGUAUGCCGCACUUGAUGUAGACUUGGCCUGUCGGGUCGAAGUUGGCCUCUACAGUUGUUUUCCACUUUCCACUCUGAAUGAAGGUUCUUAGAGUCCUGUUGAACUUGUAUACUAUAGUUCCCAGCAUUCCUCGAAGGCUUAUUUGUUGAGCCACGUGCCUACUCAUCUUGACUGCUAUGGUGCAUUACAGGAGCUUCCAUGUUGUGCAGAGGCAGGUUAUUGUGUGGUAGUUGGAUAUGAAUGCUCCCUUCUGGGGGUUCUUCAAGAUCUUGUUAACCAUUCAGGGUGAGUUCCCUCCACAAGUAGCUUGUACAUUUCUGCUGCAAGGCGUUCAUGGAAUGAGGUUAGCUUCUUCAGCCAGUAGGCAUGGAUGAUGUCAGGGCCUGGUGCUUCAUACCUGAGACUUUCUCUUGGAUGUCUACCAUUGUGAUCUUUACUAGAGCUUUGGGGAGGUUGCUGAGGUUUGCUCUCAAGUCCACCAGCUACUUGGCAUUGCUGUUAUGUGAUGCCUUCUUCUCCCAUAUGCCUUUCUUUAGUCUCCAGCCUUGGCGAGCCUCUCUUGGAUUGAAGAGAUACAGUCUCCAAAGCAUCAGGUAUGGUCAUGUUGCUAAUAGUCUAACCUCUUUCAGUAUUUCCUUGAUCUUAGCCUCCAAACACCAUUUUCAUGAAGGAUACUGCACACUUAUGGCUUGAUCUUAUAGCCAAGUACCUAAGGAUAUGUGUAUUCUGUAUAUCAGUUUAUUGGUUUCAGUAAUGGUCAUGAUUGGUAUUGUUGUAGUGCUGUAAUCACAUCUUAGCAGACUCAGGCUCAGGAGUUUCAGGUGUCUAUUUUAGCCAUGAUCUUCAUUCUUAGGUCAGGUGUUAUUGUGCUCUCUGAUUGUGGGGAGAAUGAUGAUCCUGACCUGGUCACCUGGCUCCCCCUUGUCGUAGCAUUUAUGUUGUGUUGUACCUCAUUAAUCUCUAGUUGUGACUUGCUGUUUCUUGCGGACAUGAGAGCACUACUACAACUACUAGUUGUUUUGGCGCUAGUUCAGAUGUUAGGUCUUGAGGUAUCCAUAGUGCCCACAUUCUCUUCAUGUAGUUCCACUCACUAGGGUUACUGCUGUAGUAGCAUUGCGAUAAUUCCCUAUUCCCCUCGUCUGUCCACGAAUGUCUUAAUCCAGCAGCCCAGUUCACAUUAGGUUGAUGUAGUUUCAGUACAAUAGAUCCAAGAGGUUGAUCUUCAGACUUUGUGAUUAUAUACAAAAUUAUUUUUAAAUUUGCUCAUCAUUUGUCAUGGGUUACGGCAAAUAAAAAAUGAAUGCAAAUCUUCCUUCAGGCAUCUGUUUUAGGAAAUAUUAAUAAACACUCUUGGGCAAAUAAGCAAGAUCAACAUGGUGCUGUUCUUGAUGGUUUGUUUCCUAAUGCUCUGCCAAAACACCCAGUGCUGUAUUUAUAGUAAAUUGCAACAAAAAUAAUUUGUUUCAACAGUACAAACAGAAAAUCUUCCAUCUUGCUCUAGUAUUCCAUGCUGCAUUUGAAGUGCCAGCAAAACCAAUCACAUUCCUUAGACUAUUUCUCAUUUCCUACUUCCUUCAUUCACAGACUCAAAUAGCCUCUGAAUCAUUCCAUGGCACCCGCACCAGUGUUUACACUUUGCCUCCUUCCGUAGUGGAAUAUUGUACCGUUCAUGACACCAAGAGUUCAAAAAUGUUCCGAUAAAAUCAAUAACAGAAACCAGAAAAUGAAUUUAAAUGCUUUGAGGGAAACUUGCUCAAGUAUAUUUUGUGUUUUAGAUCAACAACAUGAGCUAAAGAUAAAUUUUUGUGCUAGAACCUGCCAGAGAAAACUUGUAUGGCACACUGUAGCAUUAGGUUUCCUGUGGAAGUGUGAUAGGUUCUAAAAAAAGAUUGGGACAUAAAACACUGCAGAAAAUGGGACUUAGUAUAAAACCUUAUUUUAUUAUUUAUUAUUAGCAGCGAUGUAAACAGUGCUUAAUGUGCCAAAAAAUAAAGUGAUUUGAUUUUUGAAUUGUGUCACAUCAAAAGAAGCUGAGCAUGCAAAUGAAUAUAAACAACAUGAAUUAAAAAGCAAAGUAGAUGUACAAAGACAACAUAGGACCAACGCCAUGCAAACCCAGUGAAGUAACUAGUUCUGCUCCUUCAGGUCAACAGCAGAGAGCAUUUAAGUUGUAAUUACUAACAAUAGUUUCAAAUACACAUAUGUAUUUAUUUACUGUAGAUGUUUAGUUUGAACUCACAUGAAAUGUAGGCGCGUGUGUGACCCACUGCGAGUGACUGUAGGACGUUGUUUUUAUAAUGGGUGUGUGCUACAGUAUCCUUCUUCCUUCAGGCUUUACUGUCAGAAGCUAUGAAUUUGGGCUUCACAGUCAGUCAGUUUUCUGGCUCUAAACCUGUCAAUUAAACCCGUGACCACAUCCUAGCUGAGUUCAAAAAGCUCUGCCCUGAUUAAUGAGAUGCUGAGUAAUACAUGUGCUUUGAAAGGAUGCUCACUCUGGAAGAUUUUAACAAGGUGCUGCAUACAUAAAAAGACUUUUUGUAUCAUUUUGGAAAACAACGAGGCUUCCAGACAGCGCAUUUAAUGAGCAGUGACUUUUUCUGUGCCUUUAAUGAAUGACAUGUCGCCGUGUUGCGUAACAGGUACUUUGCAUUUUAAUUAAAACUUGCAUACAGCGAAUUUAAUUGGAGGAAUAAAUGUUGUAAAGAACAGCCCAUGGGUCAGAAGCUCUGCUCAGAAAGUCAGGGUGGAAUCAGUCCAAGUAGUUUACAGUAUCUACAGUAAAAAAGAAUGAUAUGACCAUACGACACAGCCUCUCGCCUAAAUCUGAACCACGAGCAGACUUCCCAGGUCCCGUCGCCUCCGUCUAGACGGCUAUAACAACCCACAGGUAAUCACGGACCAAACGUGUUAAGAGCGGCCGAGCUGUGAGGGAGCCUGCAUACCUCGUAAACCCUGGGAACAAAGGCGGCAUCGUCAUCGCACUGUGUUUAUGUAGUUCCGCCUGUUUAUUGUGUUUGUCUGGAUCUAUAUUUAGGACGAGUUUCCAUGAAAUGUCAUCUUUAAAAUGUGGAGCUGCAACCUAGCUGCAUGCUCAGCCCUGCUAUCACAAACACAGCAGGCCUGCCAGGAUUAGCUGCUGCUAAGCUCUGUGUGGUGAGUCAUCAGUUGAUGCAUAAUUCAUUUAUGCAUAAUAUAGGCAAUCUGUUGCUAACGCCAAAUACGUCAGCCACACAGGAGUCAUACAUAUUACGGAGAGGACAUUUGCCAAAGUACUGUAGAUGCAAAUAAUGAUGUAAAUCUAAAAUUCCCCUUUUCAAGUAGCACAAAUGGCUCUGAUUAGUUUAACAUUAACAGCUGGAGGGAAUAAGUGUAAACCAAACUUAAACUGGGUGGACGAGGGAGAAACUCUCUGAUGAUUGACUGGCUUCAUGGCAACACAAGAAGGGGGGUCAAAUAUUAUGCUGUAAAGCUAAUCUGAGCACUGCGUGUUCUGGUCUGCGCGCCUCGACCCCAUGCUGCUCCUGGAGGACCAGGAUUAUAUUGUCCAGAUGGGGAAUAAUAGCCCACACCUGGGCCUUGGCACAGCCCUUAGACACGGCCCAAGCAUGGCUCUGAGAUCUGACUCAGCUAAACAUAAGUGAGACCUGCCCACCCCCAAUGUGGCUGACGGAGGUCUGCCAGCACUGAAGUCACCAGGUUAACCUGAAUUCUAACCAACUAACAUCAUUCCCGGGAAUGAUGUUAGUUAGACCUGGGUCUAACUUCAAAUCUUUCAACAGCCUUCACAUAGCUAACAUGGCCUUGGCUGCUUGUUAGAUGCUGUAACGCAUCCAUCCCUUCGUCUAAUUGCCUGUAUCCUUCCUUUCACUCAGCCAUGGGACAAAGAGGACCACAUGCAGACAUCCUGCCUCCAAAUCUGCCGUCACUAUGGCGACACGAAACAAAAUACACUGUGGGUCUACUAUAGCACCACAUAGAUAAAGAACUACUAAGAACAACUAAUUCACUGUUUCUGUACAAUGUGUAAAUAAAGUAAAAAAGAAUGAAAUGACACUAAACUGUAAAUCACAGCCCUUCAUUAGACUCACUGGUGAAAUGGUUGCAUGGUCUGCAUCCUUUAAACAUCACACAUACAGGCUUCAUCAUCUAUUGGUUUGUCCCAGUCCCAAUCACUGAAUAGUGAUCAGCUCAUACUGUACAUAUACAGUAGUAUUGAUGUACAGAAUUUAAAUAUUGAAACAUUGUUGUGAGUUGCUAUUGAAAAAAAAAACUGACACAGUUUGUACUUCAUAAACACACAGUAAUACACAAACAAAUGCAUCCAUCUACUAAUAUACUGUGUACUGUAAUAAUAUACUGUAGAGCCGUCUACUGAAGAUACAUUCUGUCUUUCUGUGCCUGUAAUAACUGUAAAACCAUGAGGAGGUGCUGAAGUGGCAGCUUUAACUGUGGGUUCGUUU